UACGUAGGGGGCAAGCGUUGUCCGGAAUCAUUGGGCGUAAAGAGCGUGUAGGCGGCCCGGUAAGUCCGCUGUGAAAGUCAAGGGCUCAACCCUUGAAUGCCGGCCGAUACUGCCGGGCUAGAGUCCGGAAGAGGUGAGUGGAAUUCCUGGUGUAGCGGUGAAAUGCGCAGAUAUCAGGAGGAACACCGAUGGCGAAGGCAGCUCACUGGGACGGUACUGACGCUGAGACGCGAAAGCGUGGGGAGCAAACAGG
rnacentral:rRNA from 1 species